rnacentral:rRNA from 1 species
UACGUAGGGGGCAAGCGUUGUCCGGAUUUAUUGGGCGUAAAGAGCGUGUAGGCGGCCAGGUAGGUCCGUUGUGAAAACUGGAGGCUUAACCUCCAGCUGUCGAUGGAAACCAUCUGGCUAGAGUCCGGAAGAGGAGAGUGGAAUUCCUGGUGUAGCGGUGAAAUGCGCAGAUAUCAGGAAGAACACCCGUGGCGAAGGCGGCUCUCCGGGACGGUACUGACGCUGAGACGCGAAAGCGUGGGGAGCGAACAGG